UACGUAGGGUGCGAGCGUUGUCCGGAAUUAUUGGGCGUAAAGAGCUCGUAGGUGGUCUGUCGCGUCGAUCGUGAAAACUUGGGGCUUAACCCUGAGCUUGCGGUCGAUACGGGCAUGACUGGAGUUCGGCAGGGGAGACUGGAAUUCCUGGUGUAGCGGUGAAAUGCGCAGAUAUCAGGAGGAACACCGGUGGCGAAGGCGGGUCUCUGGGACGGUACUGACGCUGAGACGCGAAAGCGUGGGGAGCGAACAGG
rnacentral:rRNA from 1 species